UACGAAGGGUGCAAGCGUUACUCGGAAUUACUGGGCGUAAAGCGUGCGCAGGCGGUUCGUUGUGUCCGUCGUGAAAGCCCCGGGCUUAACCUGGGAACUGCGAUGGAAACUAGCGAGCUGGAGUGUGGCAGAGGGGGGUGGAAUUCCGCGUGUAGCAGUGAAAUGCGUAGAGAUGCGGAGGAACACCGAUGGCGAAGGCAGCCCCCUGGGCUAACACUGACGCUGGAGACGCGAAAGCGUGGGGAGCAAACAGG
rnacentral:rRNA from 1 species